rnacentral:rRNA from 1 species
CGGACGGGUGAGUAAUGCUUGGGAAUCUGGCUUAUGGAGGGGGAUAACGACGGGAAACUGUCGCUAAUACCGCGUAGUGUCGAGAGACGAAAGACCGGGACCGUAAGGCCGGUUGCCAUAAGAUGAGCCCAAGUGGGAUUAGGUAGUUGGUGGGGUAAAGGCCUACCAAGCCUGCGAUCUCUAGCUGGUCUGAGAGGAUGGCCAGCCACACUGGAACUGAGACACGGUCCAGACUCCUACGGGAGGCAGCAGUGGGGAAUAUUGCGCAAUGGGGGCAACCCUGACGCAGCCAUGCCGCGUGAAUGAAGAAGGCCUUCGGGUUGUAAAGUUCUUUCGGUGAUGAGGAAGGCGGUUAGUUUAAUAGGCUAAUCGAUUGACGUUAAUCACAGAAGAAGCACCGGCUAACUCCAUGCCAGCAGCCGCGGUAAUACGGAGGGUGCGAGCGUUAAUCGGAAUAACUGGGCGUAAAGGGCACGCAGGCGGUUGCUUAAGUGAGGUGUGAAAUCCCCGGGCUUAACCUGGGAAUUGCAUUUCAGACUGGGCAGCUAGAGUAUUUUAGGGAGGGGUAGAAUUCCACGUGUAGCGGUGAAAUGCGUAGAGAUGUGGAGGAAUACCGAAGGCGGAGGCAGCCCCUUGGGGAAAUACUGACGCUCAUGUGCGAAAGCGUGGGGAGCAAACAGGAUUAGAUACCCUGGUAGUCCACGCUGUAAACGCUGUCGAUUUGGGGAUUGGGCUUUAAGCUUGGUGCCCGUAGCUAACGUGAUAAAUCGACCGCCUGGGGAGUACGGCCGCAAGGUU